UACGUAGGGUGCAAGCAUUAAUCGGAAUUAUUGGGCGUAAAGGGCGCGUAGGCGGAGAUGUAAGUCAGAUGUGAAAUCCCGGGGCUCAACCCCGGAACAGCAUUUGAAACUGCGUUUCUAGAGGGUAGGCGGAGAAAACGGAAUUCCACAAGUAGCGGUGAAAUGCGUAGAUAUGUGGAAGAACACCAGUGGCGAAGGCGGUUUUCUAGCUUAUACCUGACGCUAAAGCGCGAAAGCAAGGGGAGCAAACAGG
rnacentral:rRNA from 1 species